AAUGGACGAAAGUCUGACGCAGCCAUGCCGCGUGCAGGAUGACGGCCCUAUGGGUUGUAAACUGCUUUUGUAUGGGAAGAAACUCUUUUACGUGUAAAGGAUUGACGGUACCGUACGAAUAAGCAUCGGCUAACUCCGUGCCAGCAGCCGCGGUAAUACGGAGGAUGCAAGCGUUAUCCGGAUUUAUUGGGUUUAAAGGGUGCGUAGGCGGGAAAUUAAGUCAGUGGUGAAAUCCUGCAGCUUAACUGUAGAACUGCCAUUGAUACUGAUUUUCUUGAGUACGGUUGAAGUAGGCGGAAUGUGUAAUGUAGCGGUGAAAUGCUUAGAUAUUACACAGAACACCGAUUGCGUAGGCAGCUUACUAAGCCGAAACUGACGCUGAGGCACGAAAGCGUGGGGAUCGAA
rnacentral:rRNA from 1 species